GCGAAUCUCGAAAGCCUGUCUCAGUUCGGAUUGGAGGCUGAAACCCGCCUCCAUGAAGUUGGAUUCGCUAGUAAUCGCGCAUCAGCCAUGGCGCGGUGAAUACGUUCCCGGGCCUUGUACACACCGCCCGUCGCACCAUGGGAGUCGGAAAUGCCCGAAGUCUGUGACCCAACCUGAGAGGGAGGGAGCAGCCGAAGGCAGGUCGGAUGACUGGGGUGAAGUCGUAACAAGGUAUC
rnacentral:rRNA from 1 species